ACAUCUGAUUAAGUAGUUUUCCAUAGCAAACCAGUAUCUAAACUACCACUCAGAAAGAACAUUGAGUAUAAGCUAUAUACAGGGAGGAACAUAGAACAGCACCUAGUACACAGCAGAUGCUCAACCAGCAUCUGAGGAUGGAAGGACUGGUGUAAAGAAAGGACUGAGGGAGGAAGAAAGGGGUCAAGAAAGUCAACAGCUUCUAAAUCUCUCUUCAUUGUCACCUGUUAAUAUUGGUUGACUUUCUGAGCAAGAGAAAGCCAGCCAAUAACUUCUCUGACUGGAGAAACUGGAGGCUGCACAGGUGCAUGCAGAGUUAAUAAGACAAGAAAUACCUAUAAGGGGGCAUUCCCUGGAUGAUGGAAAACAGGACACAGAGAAAUAGGAGCAUCACUAAAGAUCUGGGCUGAGGUCUUGCCACCCAGGCUGGGAAGGAUGAGGAAAGAUUAAGGACAUUUCCGGAAGGUUAUCAGAGAAGACUUUCGCCAGGAAGUUCAGUUCAGUUCAGUUCAGUUCAGUCGCUCAGUCGUGUCCGACUCUUUGCAACCCCAUGAAUCGCAGCACGCCAGGCCUCCCUGUCCAUCACCAACUCCCGGAGUUCACUCAGAC
rnacentral:lncRNA from 1 species